rnacentral:rRNA from 1 species
CAGUCGCCGCGGGAAUACAGAGGGUGCGAGCGUUAAUCGGAUUUACUGGGCGUAAAGCGUGCGUAGGCGGCUAAUUGAGUCGGAUGUGAAAUCCCCGAGCUUAACUUGGGAAUUGCAUUUGAUACUGGUUAGCUAGAGUGUGGGAGAGGAUGGUAGAAUUCCAGGUGUAGCGGUGAAAUGCGUAGAGAUCUGGAGGAAUACCGAUGGCGAAGGCAGCCAUCUGGCCUAACACUGACGCUGAGGUACGAAAGCAUGGGGAGCAAACAGGAUUAGAUACCCCAGUAGUCCCUGUCUCUUAUAU